UUUAUUGAAAAGCGCUUGAACUUGAGCAAUUAGUUUCACCCGGAAAUUUAAUCUACCUAUAAUGUUAUCAUGAAAAUAAGAAAAUUUGGAGAUAGAAAAGUGUUCAGAUAAAAGGCCAAUCACAAAUUUAUUCUCGAGAUUACGUUUAAAGUUUUGUGUGAUUUUAAGCGCCUGAUUACAUUAAACUGGUUUGAAUCGCCUUCCGAAAGAAGUCUAUGUUCUUCCCGUACACCCUGUAUACCAAAAUCCCGAAAAAGGAGGGGAGAAUAAUCGAUUGCAAAAAACCAUUUCGAAUGAGAGAAAGCGAAUCUUUUUGGAAGUCAAUCCAUACCAUCGCAUCUUCUAUGGUAAAUAUUGGUAAGCCGAUAGAUCCCCAAACAGCCCCACUUUCCUGAGAUUCGCUACUAGCGCUCAAGAUCACUGACGGGUAAUCAACAGGAAGUAUUUUCCGAAGCUUUAAAGAAAAUGUGCUUUAAACUUUCGAACUGUUUCAACGAUACUCUGUUGACUUUAAAUAAUAUUGUUCCUUAAGUUUAUUUUUGUUUUGCGCUUCUUACCAUUGUCUUUGGUUCCUCCAUGGAUCUAGUAGGACUAGCGCUGUUAUAUAUAAAUAUAUCACUGUUAAGUUACA